rnacentral:tRNA from 1 species
UCCCUCAUGGUCCAAUGGUUAAGACUUUGCGCUCCCAAUGCAGGGGGCCCAGGUUCAAUCCCAGGUCAGGUAA